UACGGAGGGUGCAAGCGUUGUUCGGAAUCAUUGGGCGUAAAGCGCGUGUAGGCGGCUUGGCAAGUCAGUUGUGAAAGCCCGGGGCCCAACCCCGGAAUUGCAUCUGAAACUGCCUGGCUAGAGUCCCGGAGAGGAAGGCAGAAUUCCCGGUGUAGGGGUGAAAUCCGUAGAUAUCGUAAGGAAGACCAGUGGCGAAGGCGGGUCUCUGGACAGUUCCUGACGCUGAGGCACGAAGGUCAGGGGAGCAAACGGG
rnacentral:rRNA from 1 species